rnacentral:lncRNA from 15 species
UUUUGUCAUCUUUACCUCUAAUUUCUCUUUCAGCACAGAGUGAGUGCCACAUAUGAAGAGUGGGAAUCAAAGGAAGCCGUGGAAUGCGUCAGGUACCUGCUGGACGACUUCCUCCGUGGGACAAAUGCUGCCGUCCUUUGCUUUGUGCGCAUUAUGUGUGAGUCUACACCUUUUUUCCGGUCUUAUAAGUGAAUAGAGUAUUAGUCUGACUCUCUGAGAUUUACUCUCAUGCCAAGAUACACUAGUUACACUAGUGUCAGCUGUAUAUUUAUCAUUUUAAUUUGCAUCAUAUAAAACUAGGAUUAACAGGAUGAAGGACACCAAAAAGUAAGCCCUUCAUACAUAGAAAUUGUGUUAAGUUGUUAGAGUGAUUUUGGCCCCGUCUUUCUUCUUUGCAUUAAACAGCAGCAUGUUGUUCUCAGUCUUUGAAAUGUAAAUAAUUUGACCGCUCCCAUGGUAACACCUCCCAUGGUAAACACCCUCAGCGCCAUUCACCGGCCCGCCACUGAUAUGAACUUUGUUUAGGAGUAGAGUCGGAGCAGAGAAAGGGAACUACUUGAGAAGACGUAACUUCGAAAAUGCCUUUCAUGUUGUGGAAAAGCGAUGAACUUCUGUUGUAGUUUAUUGCCGGUGUGAUUUUUAAAAGCAUCCCCCUGGCUCUUUGAAGUGAGAAUGGGUCUGUUUUUCCUCUGCAGCGGUGUUACUGUGUCAUUGCUCAUCUGCUUCUUGUCUCUGAUUGGAUCAGAUGAAAUUCUUUUUCAAUGUCCAAACUGGUCAGACUGAACUAAAACUAAUUCUAACACACAGUGACAAUUUACACCCUGCAAAUGCAAUCAGACAGGUGUCUUAAGAAAGGUGCUGGAAUCUUGCUCUAGAUUGGAUGACUACUGUUGCUAUUCACUAUAUGUUAACCUCAGCUUUAAAGGUUCUGCGUCACAUUUUGGGAAACAUGAUUAUUCGCUUUUUUUGACUAAAGUUAGAUAAUAGAUGAAGAAGUUUGUUACCGUGGUAACACGUCGACAUGAGAGCACACUCUUAUGUCUGCCAGCAGCUGGUUAGCUUAGCUUAGCAUAAAGACUGGAAAUUAGGGGGGAAACAGUUGCCUGGCUCUGUUCAACAGAAACUACUUUUACGCAUUAGCAUCUUACUAAUUAACAUGUUUUAUCUAAUUUGUUUAAUUGGUAAAAAAAUUGACGUGUCAAAAAACAUUUUUUUUAAGGAUUUUGUGCUGACUGCUCAGAGAUAAGAAAUAAUCUGGCAUAUAACCAACCCAUAAAGCAGGGAAGUGCCGUUUUACAGAUUAAACAAAUGAGAUAUAGUUAAUUUGGGAGUGUAAGAGGUGCUGGUAGGCAGAUUCUGUUAUCUUUUUCUUAAAACCAGGCACUUUCCCCCAUAAGCUAACCCUCUAAUUAAAGUGUACCUCCCAUAAUGUUGAAUUAUUCCUUUAAUAUGACUGUUUGUAUAGUCCUGCUUUUAUUAGCUGAGAGUAAAACCGGAGGCUUCAGUGAAUGAUUGGACUUAAGAAGAUUGAUGCAGACAAAAAUGCCGCCUCUCCAGAGUUAGCUGACCAGGCCAUAAUCGUAGUAUCUUUCCUCACUUUUUACUGAUUUUGUCAUGCAUGCCUUCAUGCUGCUGAAGCCAGUGCUUCAUUAUGCUUUUACGGCCUAUUCCGGUCAUACUCGCGCUGCAGUCACACACUUCGAAUUGUUCUCCUGACAGCUGUCUGUGCCUUUUUAUAAUAGCUACUUGAAACAGAGGAAGGCUUUAUUUUCCUUCUG